rnacentral:misc_RNA from 1 species
GAUGAAGAACGUAGCGAAAUGCGAUACGUAAUGUGAAUUGCAGAAUUCAGUGAAUCAUCGAGUCUUUGAACGCACAUUGCGCCCCCUGGUAUUCCGGGGGGCAUGCCUGUCCGAGCGUCAUUGCUGCCCUCAAGCACGGCUUGUGUGUUGGGCCUCCGUCCUCCUCCCGGGGGACGGGCCCGAAAGGCAGCGGCGGCACCGCGUCCGGUCCUCGAGCGUAUGGGGCUUCGUCACCCGCUCUUGUAGGCCCGGCCGGCGCUUGCCGACACAUCAAUCUUUUUUCCAGGUUGACCUCGGAUCAGGUAGGGAUACCCUCUGAACUUAAGCAUAUCAAUAAGCGGAGA